rnacentral:rRNA from 1 species
AGUGAACGCUGGCGGCAGGCCUAACACAUGCAAGUCGAACGGCAGCACAGAGGAGCUUGCUCCUUGGGUGGCGAGUGGCGGACGGGUGAGGAAUACAUCGGAAUCUGCCUUAUCGUGGGGGAUAACGUAGGGAAACUUACGCUAAUACCGCAUACGACCUACGGGUGAAAGCGGAGGACCGCAAGGCUUCGCGCGAUAAGAUGAGCCGAUGUCGGAUUAGCUAGUUGGCGGGGUAAUGGCCCACCAAGGCGACGAUCCGUAGCUGGUCUGAGAGGAUGAUCAGCCACACUGGAACUGAGACACGGUCCAGACUCCUACGGGUGGCUG